AAAAGUUUGGGGUUUAUAGGGGUUAGUGGUUAGUGGUUAGGGCUGGGGUUAGCGUUAGGGUUAGUGUUAUGUGCCGCGAAUUUAUUAUUAUGAUAGAUUCAAAAUGUGCCGCGAAUUUAUCAUAAUGAUAAAAUCGGACGUGUUUAAGAAUUUACUCGUAUAGUAAAGGUGGAUCGGAGUCAUGCUGAAAUAACCGGGUCGAUAGGCAAAAGUACGUUCGGAAUGAAAUCUAUAGACAAGGUCACGUUUGUUUAUAAAUAUUGCUGAAGUUGAUAUAGUUUAAAUGAUAGUCUUGAUAAUAAAUUUCACGGUUCUGUAUGCUGCAUAUAUGCUCUUUUUUUUCUUUUAUGCGAUUUUGGAC